rnacentral:rRNA from 1 species
UACAGAGGUCUCAAGCGUUGUUCGGAUUCAUUGGGCGUAAAGGGUGCGUAGGCGGCGCGGUAAGUCGGGUGUGAAAUCUUGGAGCUUAACUCCGAAACUGCAUUCGAUACUGCCGUGCUUGAGGACUGGAGAGGAGACUGGAAUUUACGGUGUAGCGGUGAAAUGCGUAGAUAUCGUAAGGAACACCAGUGGCGAAGGCGGCUUCCUGGACUAAUACUGACGCUGAGGUGCGAAAGCGUGGGGAGCAAACAGG